rnacentral:rRNA from 1 species
AACGAACGCUGGCGGCGUGGAUAAGACAUGCAAGUCGAACGAGAGAAUUGCUAGCUUGCUAAUAAUUCUCUAGUGGCGCACGGGUGAGUAACACGUGAGUAACCUGCCCCCGAGAGCGGGAUAGCCCUGGGAAACUGGGAUUAAUACCGCAUAGUAUCGAAAGAUUAAAGCAGCAAUGCGCUUGGGGAUGGGCUCGCGGCCUAUUAGUUAGUUGGUGAGGUAACGGCUCACCAAGGCGAUGACGGGUAGCCGGUCUGAGAGGAUGUCCGGCCACACUGGAACUGAGACACGGUCCAGACACCUACGGGUGGCAGCAGUCGAGAAUCAUUCACAAUGGGGGAAACCCUGAUGGUGUGACGCCGCGUGGGGGAAUGAAGGUCUUCGGAUUGUAAACCCCUGUCAUGUGGGAGCAAAUUAAAAAGAUAGUACCACAAGAGGAAGAGACGGCUAACUCUGUGCCAGCAGCCGCGGUAAUACAGAGGUCUCAAGCGUUGUUCGGAAUCACUGGGCGUAAAGCGUACGUAGGCUGUUUCGUAAGUCGUGUGUGAAAGGCGCGGGCUCAACCCGCGGACGGCACAUGAUACUGCGAGACUAGAGUAAUGGAGGGGGAACCGGAAUUCUCGGUGUAGCAGUGAAAUGCGUAGAUAUCGAGAGGAACACUCGUGGCGAAGGCGGGUUCCUGGACAUUAACUGACGCUGAGGCACGAAGGCCAGGGGAGCGAAAGGGAUUAGAUACCCCUGUAGUCCUGGCAGUAAACGGUGCACGCUUGGUGUGCGGGGAAUCGACCCCCUGCGUGCCGGAGCUAACGCGUUAAGCGUGCCGCCUGGGGAGUACGGUCGCAAGAUUAAAACUCAAAGAAAUUGACGGGGACCCGCACAAGCGGUGGAGUAUGUGGCUUAAUUCGAUGCAACGCGAAGAACCUUACCUGGGCUUGACAUGUAAUGAACAACAUGUGAAAGCAUGCGACUCUUCGGAGGCGUUACACAGGUGCUGCAUGGCCGUCGUCAGCUCGUGUCGUGAGAUGUUUGGUUAAGUCCAGCAACGAGCGCAACCCCUGUUGCCAGUUACCAGCACGUGAAGGUGGGGACUCUGGCGAGACUGCCCAGAUCAACUGGGAGGAAGGUGGGGACGACGUCAGGUCAGUAUGGCCCUUAUGCCCAGGGCUGCACACGUACUACAAUGCCCAGUACAGAGGGGGCCGAAGCCGCGAGGCGGAGGAAAUCCUGAAAACUGGGCCCAGUUCGGACUGUAGGCUGCAACCCGCCUACACGAAGCCGGAAUCGCUAGUAAUGGCGCAUCAGCUACGGCGCCGUGAAUACGUUCCCGGGUCU